GAUGAACGCUAGCGGCAGGCCUAACACAUGCAAGUCGAGGGGCAGCACAGGUAGCAAUACUGGGUGGCGACCGGCGGAUGGGUGCGUAACGCGUAUGCAACCUACCAUUGAUUGGGGCAUAGCCCGAAGAAAUUCGGAUUAAUACUCCAUAAUAUUCAUCAAAGGCAUCUUUUAUGAAUUAAAGCUUUUGCGAUCAAUGAUGGGCAUGCGUGACAUUAGUUAGUUGGUGAGGUAACGGCUCACCAAAACGAUGAUGUCUAGGGGUUCUGAGAGGAUUAUCCCCCACACUGGUACUGAGACACGGACCAGACUCCUACGGGAGGCAGCAGUGAGGAAUAUUGGUCAAUGGACGCAAGUCUGAACCAGCCAUGCCGCGUGCAGGAUGACGGCCCUAUGGGUUGUAAACUGCUUUUCACGGGAGAACCCUCGACGUGUCGGAGACUGACGGUACCGUGGGAAUAAGCAUCGGCUAACUCCGUGCC
rnacentral:rRNA from 1 species